UGGGUAGAGAGGGUAGUGGGAGGUAAGAGCUCUUCACCCUUCACCACCUUCUCCACCCAGC
ensembl:miRNA ocu-mir-197 ocu-mir-197